GCAUUUUCCCAUUUAUUUUGUAGUGUGCAUAUUUUAGACAAUGACUUACGGUUGUUCUCAUCAUCCCAGAAACAGUAGCUGCUGUUUUUUCAUUUGUUACUGUGACUUUGUUCUUUUUAAAAUUACCAUUUUUGCACAAAACAGUGGUCUUCAUAUGAGAAUCACUAAAUUUCAAAGGAAUUAAUACGUAAAGAAUGAAAUAUAAGAAUUUAUUUUGAAUUUAUAAAUUCAAUUUAUAGGAGCAUUUCUCCAUCAUGUAAGCAGCUACUGUUUGAGUUACUUUUUAUUUUGUGUUAGAAUCCCUAACAGUGACUAGUUGCACGACUUGUGUAUGUAUAGCUAAGCCAACAUUUUUUUGUGUAUUCUGGGGAAUAGCAAAAUCUACAUCACAAAUUUUGACACAUUACAGCUGAAGGAAGAGGAACACCUUCCAAGACAAAGCAGUCUUCACGGGGAAAGUGACGCUUGUCCAGCAGUUUGCUUCUUGAUUGAACUGAACCUGUAAGGAUUCAUGGAUAAACUGAACAGGAAUAGAUCUGAAUAAAGCAAAUCUGCAUAAAUGGUAACCAGUAGCUCUACUUUUAUUUUUUAUGUUGCUUAACUGUUUUAUUUGAAGGAAACUGUGUGAUUUAAAAAGUUAAUAGCUUUUGCAACUUUAUUACUGGUUAUAUAUUUGGCCAUUAUAAUGUGCAAGCAAUUGGAAAAAGUCAAGUAAAUGCUUGUUUUUAUAGUAGUUUGUUCUUGUUAAAAUGUUCAUAUGAUAAUGUCUGUAAACAGCACCAAUUUGAUUACAAUAGAUGUAGUGUUGUAAUAAACUGUUUAAUGGGGCUGAUGUGUAAAGCUGUUCAAGUUAUUUGAUGUUUACACCUCAGGGAAAGUCUUGUGUUCAGCAAUAUCUAAAGAUAAUGUUACUAUGACAACAUUUUUACUGUCCUUUAAAAAAGCAUUGCAAUAGCGUGUUUGGAUAUGCAUCAAUCUAAUCUUGCGUUCAGUGAAUUAAACAUGACUAAUUAAGUGUC
rnacentral:lncRNA from 1 species